rnacentral:misc_RNA from 1 species
AGGAACUCCAGGCUCUAGAAAGAGCUCAUCGAGAAUAUUCUAGCUUGAAGGUACGGAUGGAGGCAGAUAUUAAAGAUCUUCUUUUGAAAAUGGAAGCUACAAAACGGAACCUCCCAGUGUGAAUUAGUAUCAGCCAGGAUUCUUUCUGCCUUAUUAUCUCUUCCGCACUCCAUAGUUGGAAGUAUUUCAAAUUUAUAGGCUUAUAUAUUUUCAAUCUAUCGUAUUAGUUCUUCUUUUAGGUUUUACCUUCUAAGUUCUUUCCCCUCCCUUUAU